rnacentral:rRNA from 1 species
UACGUAGGCAGCAAGCGUUGUUCGGAGUUACUGGGCGUAAAGAGUGCGUAGGCGGUUUCCUAAGUUUGGUGUGAAAUCUCCCGGCUUAACUGGGAGGGUGCGCCGAAGACUGGGGAGCUAGAGGAUGGGAAAGGCAAGCGGAAUUCCUGGUGUAGCGGUGAAAUGCGUAGAUAUCGUAAGGAAGACCAGUGGCGAAGGCGGGUCUCUGGACAGUUCCUGACGCUGAGGCACGAAGGUCAGGGGAGCAAACGGGG